UACGUAGGGAGCAAGCGUUGUCCGGAAUCAUUGGGCGUAAAAGCGCGCGUAGGUGGCUCUAUAAGUCCGUUGUGAAAGUCAAAGGCUCAACCUUUGAAAGCCGAUGGAUACUGUAGAGCUAGAGUCCGGGAAGAGGCGAGUGGAAUUCCCGGUGUAGCGGUGGAAUGCGCAGAUAUCAGGAGGAACACCAAUAGCGAAGGCAGCUCGCUGGGACGGUACUGACACUAAGGCGCGAAAGCGUGGGGAGCGAACAGG
rnacentral:rRNA from 1 species